AGUGAACGCUGGCGGUAGGCCUAACACAUGCAAGUCGAACGGCAGCACAGUAAGAGCUUGCUCUUACGGGUGGCGAGUGGCGGACGGGUGAGGAAUACAUCGGAAUCUACUUUUUCGUGGGGGAUAACGUAGGGAAACUUACGCUAAUACCGCAUACGACCUACGGGUGAAAGCAUGGUUUCUUGGGACCUUUCCCGAUCUAAUAGGCCGACGUCGGAUUAGCUAGUUGGCGGGGUAAAGGCCCACCAAGGCAGCGAUCCGUAGCUGGUCUGAGAGGAGGAUCAGCAACACUGGAACUGAGACACGGUCCAGCCUCCUACGGGAGGCAGCAGUGGGGAAUAUUGGACAAUGGGCGCAAGCCUGAUCCAGCCAUACCGCGUGGGUGAAGAAGGCCUUCGGGUUGUAAAGCCCUUUUGUUGGGAAAGAAAAGCAGCAGGUUAAUACCCCGCUGUUCUGACGGUACCCAAAGAAUAAGCACCGGCUAACUUCGUG
rnacentral:rRNA from 1 species